GGGUGCUUGAGGCUGUCUGUCUCAGGCAUUAGCUGAACGGCAGAUAGAGAAAAGCCCCGAGUGAUAUUUUACCAUCAACCCGAGGCCCCCUAUAUGCUGAACACAUGUAGAGUGCCUCUUACUGACCGUAAGGUCAAGGAGAAGAGAGCAAUG
rfam:Shigella dysenteriae Sd197, complete genome.